rnacentral:rRNA from 1 species
CCAGACUCCUACGGGAGGCAGCAGUGGGGAAUAUUGGACAAUGGGGGCAACCCUGAUCCAGCAAUUCUGUGUGCACGAUGAAGGUCUUCGGAUUGUAAAGUGCUUUCAGCAGGGAAGAAAAAAAUGACGGUACCUGCAGAAGAAGCGACGGCUAAAUACGUGCCAGCAGCCGCGGUAAUACGUAUGUCGCGAGCGUUAUCCGGAAUUAUUGGGCAUAAAGGGCAUCUAGGCGGCCGGAUAAGUCUGGGGUGAAAACUUGCGGCUCAACCGCAAGCCUGCCCUGGAAACUAUGCGGCUAGAGUACUGGAGAGGUGGACGGAACUGCACGAGUAGAGGUGAAAUUCGUAGAUAUGUGCAGGAAUGCCGAUGAUGAAGAUAGUUCACUGGACGGUAACUGACGCUGAAGUGCGAAAGCUAGGGGAGCAAACAGGAUUAGAUACCCUGGUAGUCCUAGCUGUAAACGAUGAUUACUGGGUGUGGGCAUGAAGAGUGUCCGUGCCGAAGCAAAUGCGAUAAGUAAUCCGCCUGGGGAGUACGGCCGCAAGGCUGAAACUCAAAGGAAUUGACGGGGGCCCGCACAAG